AGAGUUUGAUCAUGGCUCAGGACGAACGCUGGCGGCGUGCUUAACACAUGCAAGUCGAACGGAAAGGCCCCUUUGGGGGUGCUCGAGUGGCGAACGGGUGAGUAACACGUGGGUGAUCUGCCCUGCACUUCGGGAUAAGCUUGGGAAACUGGGUCUAAUACCGGAUAGGACCACGGCCUGCAUGGGUUGUGGUGGAAAGCUUUUGCGGUGUGGGAUGGGCCCGCGGCCUAUCAGCCUGUUGGUGGGGUGAUGGCCUACCAAGGCGACGACGGGUAGCCGGCCUGAGAGGGUGUCCGGCCACACUGGGACUGAGAUACGGCCCAGACUCCUACGGGAGGCAGCAGUGGGGAAUAUUGCACAAUGGGCGCAAGCCUGAUGCAGCGACGCCGCGUGGGGGAUGACGGCCUUCGGGUUGUAAACCUCUUUCACCAUCGACGAAGGCCCGCUUUUGGUGGGUUGACGGUAGGUGGAGAAGAAGCACCGGCCAACUACGUGCCAGCAGCCGCGGUAAUACGUAGGGUGCGAGCGUUGUCCGGAAUUACUGGGCGUUAAGAGCUCGUAGGUGGUUUGUCGCGUUUUUCGUGAAAUUUCCCUGGCUUAACUGGGGGCGUGCGGGCGAUACGGGCAGACUGGAGUACUGCAGGU
rnacentral:rRNA from 1 species